GAAAAAGAAAAAAUCCCUUUAAUUUUUAAUUUUAGUUCUAAUAAUAAUUUUUUACGUAGAAUUAUCAAAAAACACUGGCAUAUACUUAAAGAAGACCAUGAAAUACUUCAGUUUUUAGAUGUUCAACCAAAAUUUAUUUUUAGAGGAGCAAAUAAUUUUAGAAAAAGAAAAUGUUCAAAUAGAAGGUAAUUUUUUGAAGGAAAGUAAAGGGUUUCACUACUGUGGUAUGUGUAGAGGAUGUAAUUUUAGAAAUAAGAAGAAUAGAAAAACAGAAAAGUUCUCUUCCUCCGUCACAAAAAAA